ACUCCUACGGGAGGCAGCAGUGGGGAAUAUUGCACAAUGGGCGCAAGCCUGAUGCAGCCAUGCCGCGUGUGUGAAGAAGGCCUUCGGGUUGUAAAGCACUUUCAGUCGUGAGGAAGGUAGUGUAGUUAAUAGCUGCAUUAUUUGACGUUAGCGACAGAAGAAGCACCGGCUAACUCCGUGCCAGCAGCCGCGGUAAUACGGAGGGUGCGAGCGUUAAUCGGAAUUACUGGGCGUAAAGCGCAUGCAGGUGGUUUGUUAAGUCAGAUGUGAAAGCCCGGGGCUCAACCUCGGAAUAGCAUUUGAAACUGGCAGACUAGAGUACUGUAGAGGGGGUUAGAAUUUCAGGUGUAGCGGUGAAAUGCGUAGAGAUCUGAAGGAAUACCGGUGGCGAAGGCGGCCCCUGGACAGAUACUGACACUCAGAUGCGAAA
rnacentral:rRNA from 1 species